rnacentral:rRNA from 1 species
UACGUAGGGGGCAAGCGUUGUCCGGAUUUAUUGGGCGUAAAGAGCGUGUAGGCGGCUAGAUAGGUCCGUUGUGAAAACUGGAGGCUCAACCUCCAGCUGUCGAUGGAAACCAUCUGGCUAGAGUCCGGAAGAGGAGAGUGGAAUUCCUGGUGUAGCGGUGAAAUGCGCAGAUAUCAGGAAGAACACCCGUGGCGAAGGCGGCUCUCUGGGACGUGACUGACGCUGAGACGCGAAAGCGUGGGGAGCAAACAGGAUUAGAUACCCUGGUAGUCCACGCCGUAAACGAUGGGUGCUAGGUGUGGGCGGUGUCGACUCCGUCCGUGCCGAAGCUAACGCAUUAAGCACCCCGCCUGGGGAGUACGGCCGCAAGGCUAAA